rnacentral:rRNA from 1 species
GUAUGGCUGUUCGCCAUUUAAAGUGGUACGCGAGCUGGGUUUAGAACGUCGUGAGACAGUUCGGUCCCUAUCUGCCGUGGGCGCUGGAGAAUUGAGGGGGGCUGCUCCUAGUACGAGAGGACCGGAGUGGACGCAUCACUGGUGUUCGGGUUGUCAUGCCAAUGGCACUGCCCGGUAGCUAAAUGCGGAAGAGAUAAGUGCUGAAAGCAUCUAAGCACGAAACUUGCCCCGAGAUGAGUUCUCCCUGACUCCUUGAGAGUCCUGAAGGAACGUUGAAGACGACGACGUUGAUAGGCCGGGUGUGUAAGCGCAGCGAUGCGUUGAGCUAACCGGUACUAAUGAACCGUGAGGCUUAACCUU